rnacentral:lncRNA from 1 species
GAGUGUUUACUUUUCAUGAAUGACAAGAUGCAAGAUUGAGUAUUUUUAUCCUCAUUGGAUAUCUCUAAUCCUACACCUUUUCAAUGGGAUAUGAAUCAAGCAAAAUUAGCUCAAAUGAUAGAAAUUUUCAAGAGACUAGAUAUCCCAAGGUUCCAAUCCAUCUUACUAAACAAUGGAUUAAGCUAUGCUUAUUUUACCUAUCUGGGUUAAUCCUCAAAAGUAAAUGCCCAUAAAGUGUGCCAAGUUCAAAUCUUGAAUAUUAUACUCUCCAAGAAUCUCCAGACCUAGGAAAUUUCGAACAGUAAAUCCGAAAACCAAGAGCAACAAGCGUCUAAACGGUAACAAAACGCACACGAAUCAAUUAUCAUAUAUUCAUACAGAUUCUUGAAAACUCCAUUAUUCAAGAAACACACACUUUACCAGUUGAUAAACAAGUAUAAAUAGCGAUAACCCUAGCAAGCAGAGGAGAAAUUUUAGUACCUUAGUGCAGCGAGGAAUUCUAAUACUCCAAUUUUGUUUCUGGCAAAGAAUCGGGAGAGGCGAAGAACCGGGAGAGAGAGACUAGACGACUAUGCAGUUAGAGUCUGAGAACUGAAACGUGUAGUUUGAUGAUUUGAUCGCCCUCGUUGACUAAGUAACCGUGGAAAUCAACCGAAGAAAGAUAAAGAAAGUAUUCUCGGUGUCCACAAUAA